rnacentral:ncRNA from 2 species
GACCGGAGCUAGGGGAGCCUUCGGGCUGAGAGUGGGUUCGUCCCAGACCCUGUGAACCUGACGCAGUUAGCACUGCCGUAGGGAAGCCGCGCACCGGACAU